UUGCUUUACAGUAUGUGGGCUGUUGGACCAUGGAGUUUUCCUACUCCGAUUUUGGUGAGCUUAGAUUUCCUCUAGACUUUGCUUUAACGCGUUUGGUAGCAAUGAUGACUUAUCUUUUUUCCCCAGCAGAUCGACAGUGUUGACCUUUUCUUAAUGCAAAAAAUAAGCCAAAUGAUCUGAGCAACCAUAUACUUGUGCCAAAAUCUGGCGUUCAUUUUAAGGAAUGUCACUGAUGUUUACUACUAUCCCCACAGAUCACACUGGAGCCAAAUGGAUAACCUUAAAUUCAUCAGACUUUGUUUCAUAGGUCUUUAACACUCUAAAGCAGGCAGAAUUCUGUAAUUCAAGAGGACCAGGACCAAAACGAGUGACCCUUGAUGAAUGGCCACAUGUGACGGAGUAUGCGCGAUCCAUGCUCCUGAAGGCCCUUCGGUGCCAAACCCACUUGGAGCUGUGAAUGACACCAUGGGUUUUCUCAAAGCAGUCUAGCGUUUACCAGCCAUGGGGAGGAAACGCCUUUGAGUUUUGAAGUUGCUUUAUUUUGACCUGCUAGUGUUCCAAGGUGCUAUUUUUAUGAAAAGGCAUUCAAGUACGUUCCAUUUAUAACUUCUCAAAGCGGUCACUAAUUGCUUGUAACUUAUUUGUUCUAUGCAAGUGUAAAUUGUCUUGCAACUAGUUACCUCUUUUACGUUUUCAAUAAAACUUUAUGAAAACUUG